UAACAUCCACAGGCUGGCCGGCCCCAGGCUGAGCUGGGCGAGUAUUUCUUUGAAAGACUCACCCUCGCACUAGCUGG
rnacentral:pre_miRNA from 1 species